UACGAAGGGGGCUAGCGUUGUUCGGAAUUACUGGGCGUAAAGCGCGCGCAGGCGGUUUUUCAAGUCAGUGGUGAAAGCCCGGAGCUCAACUCCGGAAAUGCCAUUGAAACUGUAAAACUUGAGGACGAGAGAGGUGAGUGGAAUUCCCAGUGUAGAGGUGAAAUUCGUAGAUAUUCGGAAGAACACCAGUGGCGAAGGCGACUCACUGGACACAUAUUGACGUUGAGGUGCGAAAGCGUGGGGAGCAAACAGG
rnacentral:rRNA from 1 species